rnacentral:misc_RNA from 1 species
UUACUACUCACCUAAAUCUUCCAUGCUUUGCGUUAGCAAGGCCUCAAAAGUACGUAAACUGUAGCUUUCGGCGUCCAUACCCUUGGCCAAAGUGUUCCUCAGAUGCAUCUCAUAUUCGAGAAGAAGCCUACUAGUUGGACUACCAGGUGUUGAUACAGAUUGCAUGUUUUGCUGUUGAUACGCCUGACCACCAUUGCAACGACGCGAACUGCAGUGAGUCGGUUGUUCCAUAUCCGAGUUUCCAUUCGACGAACUUGGCGUGGUCGCGUAACACUGAUUAUCGAAGAUGACAUUAUCCGAUGGCGGCGACAUAUCACCUGUGCAUCGAUUACGUUCCGAAUCUAAAUAGGUCCUGGCUCUGCUGCCUACGACAAACAGGUGCUUCAUGCAGGAAUUGGAAACGGUGUGAUGUUUGUAUUCAACUGUCGAACGUAAAGAAUCGUUACUUUUUUGCGUUCACGUUGAUUCGAUGGUCACUUAGAACAAUACGAUACUAACUGAAGACUAGUAUAUGUAGUUCAUAGAAUCAGUUGAUACCAACAACAAUCAAGUCAAUUCCGCUAGUUUAUUAAGAUUUAAUGAAUUUCUUUUUGCACAACACACAACACAGUAUAUAAAUGUGUACGUGUGUAUGUGUCGCGAUCAAUAAAAAAAACCGUUGUUUGGUCACUUUUACUUAUUCAAAAAUUUUUACAGAGUUAAUUUUUGUCAACACAAUAUUGCUUUUCGAACAGGGAUGCUUAUGUACGAAUACAUUUCUUUUGUCAGUUUUCUCUCCUUAAGAGCCCGGUGCAGGCGAACGAUUUGCGAUAGCGUCAUCGCCGUGGUGAUUUGCCGCUGUGUUAUAGAAUAACAUUAUUCGACGGACGAAAGCGACAGCAAAUUUUCGCGGCGCAGUGGUGACGUUGCCACAAACCACUCGUCUGCACCGGUCCUAAGCCUAUCAUUACAAAGCAUGCAUGUUUUGGCGGAUUCGAUACGUUAAAGCAAGCGAACAUGUAUGGAUGUAUGUUC